UUUUGGAAUCAAGACUACAU
rnacentral:miRNA from 1 species